GAUGAACGCUGGCGGCGUGCCUAACACAUGCAAGUCGAACGGACCGAAACGGAAGCCUAGCGAAGAAGAGGUCAGUGGCGGACGGGUGAGUAACGCGUGGGUAACCUGCCUCACACAGGGGGAUAACACUUAGAAAUAGGUGCUAAUACCGCAUAAGCGCACAGCUUCGCAUGAAACGGUGUGAAAAACAAUAGUGGUGUGAGAUGGACCCGCGUCUGAUUAGCUGGUUGGUGGGGUAGAGGCCCACCAAGGCGACGAUCAGUAGCCGGCCUGAGAGGGUGACCGGCCACAUUGGGACUGAGACACGGCCCAA
rnacentral:rRNA from 1 species